GAGUUUGAUCGUGGCUCAGGAUGAACGCUAGCGGCAGGCUUAAUACAUGCAAGUCGAGGGGCAUCAGCUUAUAGCAAUAUAGGGCUGGCGACCGGCAAACGGGUGCGGAACACGUACACAACCUUCCUUUAAGAGGGGGAUAGCCCAUAGAAAUGUGGAUUAAUACCCCGUAAGAUAGUGGGAUGGCAUCAUACUACUAUUAUAGUUACGACGCUUGAAGAUGGGUGUGCGUCUGAUUAGGUAGUUGGCGGGGUAAAGGCCCACCAAGCCUUCGAUCAGUAGCUGAUGUGAGAGCAUGAUCAGCCACACGGGCACUGAGACACGGGCCCGACUCCUACGGGAGGCAGCAGUAAGGAUAUUGGUCAAUGGACGCAAGUCUGAACCAGCCAUGCCGCGUGAAGGAUGAAGGUCCUCUGGAUUGUAAACUUCUUUUAUAGGGGGCGAAAAAGGGAAUCUUCUCACUUGACAGUACCCUAUGAAUAAGCACCGGCUAACUCCGUGCCAGCCGCCCG
rnacentral:rRNA from 1 species